CCACUAAUCGGAACAAACUAUUUCUGAUAAAUAACCCAUAAGAGUUGUUCCAUUAAAUUAUAAUCUGCGAUCCAGAUCAACAACUUAUUCUUCUCCUUGGUUGGUGUCUGCUACAAGGACAACAUGACCCAUUACCAUCACUAAUCUAUGUUCAUGACACUUCAUGAUUCUACAUAGCAUUACUAGGUUGCAACUUGUCAUAAGCCUAAUGCCAUCAAAGGUUAGGCUAUGCUAUCACAAAAUUUGCAAACAAACCAUCAUAUUAGUCGUUGAAGUUAACGAGUGACUGACAUUAAAUUCCUAUCCAAUGUUAGGAGGCCAAUCCAAAGGUCCUGAAGUUGCUACAAGUCGG
rnacentral:lncRNA from 1 species